rnacentral:SRP_RNA from 1 species
GCUGGGUGUGGUGGUGUGUGCCUGUAAUCCCAGCUACUGGGGAGGCUGAGGCAGGAGAAUGGCUUGAACCCAGGAGGUGGAGGUUGCAGUGAGCCGAGAUCAUGCCACUGCACUCCAGUCUGGGUGACAGAGCAAGAUUCUGCCUCAA